CUCAUGUUGAAGUCUUAUCUUCGUCAGUGAAAAAGUUUUGCUGUCAUUUCUUCACAUCUCUUCCCUAAUUCAAGCUUUUCUGUCUCAUCUUCCCCAAUUCUUAAAAAUUUGUUUUCCUCAUUUCCUCCUGUUUCUUCCCAAAUCCAACCCGAAACAAGAUAUUGAAAUUUAAUCUGAAGAUAUAUAAGGUGGAAAACAUGGGACAAAGCACUAAAACACAAUCUGAUGAGCUUAUUUUCUUUUUCGCUGUUCAUUAUUCCUUGUUUUUAUCGGAAGAAAAACGAUAGAGACUACACAAUUAGCGCUUACUUCACCCAAACUCUCUUUUCUAUCAUCUCCUUCUACCUCUUUAUCAUUUUCAUCUCAAACAAACUUCAAAUUCUGAAAAAACCUAAUCUUUCUCUCAAACUCAAUUAUUCCCUUCAAAAAUCCUAAAUUUUGGGAACAAAUUUAGGUUUGUUUGUUCCAUUUGAGUCAUCACGUGUUGGUAGACCUAGGUUUCAAAUUGGGCCACUAAGAGCUGCUAUGAAGAGAAGAAAAGAGAUGCCUUUUGAUAAUGUUAUUCAGAAAGACAAGAAGCUUAAAUUUGUUCUAAAUAUUGUUUUAUAGUUAGCUGUGAAAUUGAAGUUGGAGGUGUUUAGAAAGGUGUUGUCACCACUAUAAAAAAAUAUGGAGUUUUUGUCGAGUUUAAUGGUUGCCAGCAGGGUCUUCUCCAUGUUUCUGAGUUGUCACAUGAACCAGUUUUUCAGGGACUUGGAAGAAGCUCAAAGGGUAGCUCGUUAUAGAACCUCUAUUGUUUGAACUUUGAACUAUAUUCGGGCAUAUUUUGCAUCUUGAGGACCACAUAGAUAUAGUUUUUACGGCUUCAGGCUGCAAAUUUUAGUUUUUGGCCUAUGUAUAUGUAUAAAGAAAAAGUUGCUAAAGGAGCAUGGUUGUUAGAACCAGAAUUCUUUAAUGUACAAUGUACCUUUAGAUAUUGUCCACUUUGUUGACCAACACUCUAUUUCUAUUACCUUCAAUGAUGAACUACAUUAUAUAUGGAAAUGAAUCACUCAAAGUCAGAGCUUUAUACUUGUA